CCAUCAUCUUUCAUCCUCUUCUAUAAAACCCAGUUUUUCCCUUCCGUGAUUUAUGCUUCUUCCUUUUCCCCCCCAUUAAUUUUCCAUUCAUUCCCUUGCUUUUUCGUUUCAUGUUCCAUUUUUUCUUCUCUUUUAAGCUCUUGAAGGUUCAUCAAUCUCUGUAAUUAGAGCUUCAUAAAGCAGCUGCAAUGGCGGUCGAGCCUCUCAAAACUGUCUAGCUUUCUUCUGGAUUCUGUGGAUCGGUGUCAAAGAUCAACCCGCCGUCUUUCGGCUAGACGGACGGUGGAGUUGUCUAGAAUCAUGGGUUCAGCUUUCUGUUGACAAACAAAGGGACAAAGAUGAAGCACACAUUCUGUACAUGUUCAUUGGUUUUACUUUUCUGUAACUAAAAUGUAGCGAUGGGGCUAAGGUGUACAUUGACAUUUGACUGUCUUGUACUUUUACAUUUUCUUUGGCAGUUGCAGGUUUGAAUAAGAAAUCUAUCAUUCACGUCA